CAAUAGCGUAUAUUAAAGUUGUUGCAGUUAAAAAGCUCGUAGUUGGAUUUCUGGUGGGAGCGAUCGGUCUGGCGCUUAGCGCGAGUACUUGCAUCGUCUCCGGCCAUCCUUGGGGAGAGUCUGUCUGGCAUUAGGUUGUCGGGCAGGGGAUCCUCAUCGUUUACUGUGAAAAAAUUAGAGUGUUCAAAGCAGGCUUAUGCCGUUGAAUAUAUUAGCAUGGAAUAAUAAGAUAGGACUUUGGUACUAUUUUGUUGGUUUGCAGACCGAAGUAAUGAUUAAUAGGGAUAGUUGGGGGUAUUUAUAUUCCAAUGUCAGAGGUGAAAUUCUUAGAUUUUUGGAAGAUAAACUUAUGCGAAAGCAUUUACCAAGGAUGUUUUCAUUAA
rnacentral:rRNA from 1 species